AUUGAACGCUGGCGGCAGGCUUAACACAUGCAAGUCGAGCGAGCGGCGGACGGGUGAGUAAUGUCUGGGAAACUGCCUGAUGGAGGGGGAUAACUAGUGGAACCGGUAGCUAAUACUGCAUAACAUCAGAUGUGCCCAGAUGGGAGUAGCUAGUAGGUGGGGUAAUGGCUCACCAAGGCGACGAUGCCUAGCAGGUCUGAGAGGAUGACCAGCCACACUGGAACUGAGACACGGUCCAGACUCCUACGGGAGGCAGCAGUGGGGAAUCUUGCACAAUGGGCGCAAGCCUGAUGCAGCAAUGCCGCGUGAGUGAAGAAGGCCUUCGGAUUGUAAAGCACUGUCGGCAGAGAGGCGUUAUUCGAAGAGGAAGCACCGGCUAACUCCGUGCCAGCAGCCGCGGUAAUUC
rnacentral:rRNA from 1 species